rnacentral:lncRNA from 1 species
UGGGUCCCUCGCACAACACGGAAUUGUGGGAGCUACAAGAUGAGAUUUUUUUUUUUUCUUUUUUGAGAUGGAGUCUCCCUGUGUCACCCAGGCUGGAGUGCAGUGGCGCGACCUCAGCUCACUGCAUCCUCCUCCUCUUGGGUUCAAGUGAUUCUUGUGCCUCAGCCUCCUGAGUAGCUGGGACUAUAGGUGUGCACCACCAUGCCCGGCUAAUUUUUAUAUUUUUAGUAGAGAUGGGGUUUUGCUAUGUCAGCCAGGCAGGUCUUGAACUCAAGUGAUCCACCCACCUCAACCUCCCAAAGUGCUGGAAUUACAGGCAUGAGCCACUGCGCCUGGCCUCAAUGUGAGAUUUGGGUGGGGCCACAGCCAAACCACAUCAGGGCUGUCUUGUGCAUUGCAGGAUGUUUAAAAGCUUUCCUGGCCUCUGUCUACUGCAUACCUAUAGCACUCUCUCAUCCACCCAAUGUGACAAUAAAUGUCUCUGGACAUUGCUAGAUGUCACCAAGGAAGCAAAAUUGCCCCCGGUUGAAAACCCCUACAGUCUGACCCCAUUGAAUAGGUAGUAUUACUGUCCCCAUUUCACUGAUGAGCAAACUGAAGCUCAGACAGAAGUAACUUUCCCAGUGUUACUUUGCUGUAACAGGAGACCCAGGAUUCAAACCAUGUCUGACUUCAGAGCCCCUGCCCUCCUGCAUGCCGGACUCUGCAGAGAGACUUCAGGCUUCAGGGAGCCAAUUGCCCAUCAGUUCUCUAGGAGAGUGCUGAAGAGUGAGUAAAUCAGUGAAGGAAUGCUAUCCUUGGAUCAUUUUUCCUUUUCUGUUUGCCUUGGAAGAAAGGAAAUUAUAUUCUGGUUUUUAUUGCCUUAGUCAGCAUGGUUUAUGGUACUGAGCCAUGUCCAGUGAGAAAGUGGCUGAUGAGUCAUCUGAAUGUCUGUGGAUUUCAGGCCCCAAAUUACUGUGAGAUUCUGAAGUUACACUUGAGAAUUCAGGUGUGAGGCUGAGAUAAGAGAUGACUGGGGACUGUAGGGUGGAUGUUCCUGGAGGAGAGCAGUUUUCCUUUCCCUGUCGGGACUGCCUGAAGUUGCAGCCACAGUGCUGUUGCUGCCCUCCCCAGCUUGGACCUGCCCUACUGCUGCUGUUAGCUGAGGUCUAUGGAGAGGCCAGGGAGGCAGGAGAGGAAAUGGAUAAAUGGAUGCAGGCAAAGUGUGAUCCAUUCUCUCUAGCUAUUUUGUGAUCAGUGAUCUCAUAUUGGUAGCUUGAAAUUGAACAUGUUGGGAGUAUUUAUACCAUGGAAGUUGGCAAACAGUAUAAAUCAGGGCUACCCAUCCUGAGUUGGUUGUUAAACACCUGCUGGCACACCACUGUGUGCUGGUUCUGGCCUGUGCCUGCUGCCCACCAAACCAACCCCACAUAGGGAGAUGGCAGGGGGCACCAAAAACCACAGAGCUGCUGGAGAAGAGGAGGGGCCAUGGCGAUGUGGGUGAUGGGGAGAGGAGUGCCAAUUUCAGCAAAGAAUGGAGGUGAGGGCUGGUAGGGGUCUCUGGAGGGUACUGGGCAAAGAUGACCUUACAAGAACAGGUCCUGGGCAUACCUUCCAGAGAUCUAGCCUCCUCUCCCAACUUUGGAGGUAUGAUUUGACAGGCAGAGGCAGAGGGGUGCAUUUCAGUCCACAGGGCAGCCUUGGGUCAGGAUGUACAGACAGGUGGUUUGGGUCAAUGGUAAGUAGUACAGAGGGUGCCCACGGGAAGCUGUGAAAAGUAAGACCAAAAGAGGUGAGUUGGGGCUAGACUGUGAGGCCCUUGUGAGCCAGAUAACAAGCUUGUACUUCAUCAGUAGGCAAUGGGGAGCCAUUGCAAGUUUUGGGCAAGGGAGUGACAGACAGUGUAGGAGAGAUUGGAAUAUAAAUGACAGGAAGCAAGAGGAAAGGCUGACAUACUACAAGGGCAUCAUCAGAAAGGGGAGACAAAGGGAAGCCACAGACACAGAGGUAUCAUGGAGAGAGAAUCAACAUGCUUGGCAUGAGACAGCAGGAAGAGGCGGGUGACGGAGACUCCCGGGGUUGGCGGUGAGGUCAUUAACAGAGAGGGGUGGCC